GUAGUUUUGAUAUUCAGGGAUGGGGCAUUGGUGCAGAGUUCUCAGGACACUCACACGGGAGUCUUACGUCCGAGUUGGGCAUUUCAUCCACACAAGGGUGGCUUUCAGUCAAUUAUUCCUGAAGUAACUGGAGACCCUGCUUGGGACUGUGAUCUGCUUUCAUUUUGGGUGCUUCAGAUCUGAAACACGAGUCUUCAGUACGAAGUUACUGGUAGUUGAUUAUGCUGCCCUGCAUCCCGCAAAAGGAAAACAAGAUUUCCACUAUAGCCCUGGCAACGCCGUGGAUCUGGGGAAUCUGUGUGGAAUCUUGUGGAACCCAAAGGGCAUUGGCAACUGCCCCAACUUAGGGUAGGAGGGAGGGAGGAGUAAAGAUCAGG
ensembl:lncRNA